rnacentral:lncRNA from 1 species
CAUCCCAGGGUCCCGCCCAGUGCCCCGCACCCCGGCGGUCACCUGGUGUAGGAGUACUUGUUGUUACUGCGGUUGUGCAGGAGCUUCACCACGGGCUGGCGGGGGAGAGAGGAUGGACGAGAGGGGUGAGGCUGCAGGGAGAGGCCCCCCCAGUGAGCCUCCACCCUGCAGGGCUUGGGGGCCUCACCUUGGAGGUGCUGGCCAGGAGCUGCUGCUCCUCCCGGGGAGAUGUCACCAUGGGGAUGAGGCACA